CCAUGGCUUUCCCUCCAAUGACUCAUCCAUAACAAACUCAACAUUAUCUCUCACCACAGCAAGGCUGAAUUUUCCAUGAUGUGGGUAGCGGUGGCCAAGGAAGGAGGUGAGCAAUGGCCAAGGAAGGAGGUGAGCAAUGGCCAAGGAAGGAGGUGAGCGAUGUGUCCACCCAGAUUCCUGCUGAGUUGAUGGAAGCCUUUCCUGUCUGACCUGCCCUGAGGAAGGAUUGCCUGCUGAGGCACGUAUUGAUGACUGGGGGAGACAGGACUGAGAGGAUGAUGGGAAAGGACCUGCAGACAUGCAGGGGAAAUCCAGAGGAUGAAGGUUCAGUGUGGCAAUUGCUGAAUUUAAGCGGGAGUUCUUCAGAAUGUUUUUUAGGGGUCAUUGACCUCAACAUAGGAGAUGACUGUGGUGGGGUGGCUCAGCCAACUAUGAGUGCUGCUCCCCCCAGGCAGUGGUCCUGGGUUGUAUAAGAAAGCAAGCUGAGCAAGCCAAGGAGAAGAGCCAGUGAGCAGCGUCCUCCACGAUUCCUGCCUCAGCUUCUGCUUGAGUUUCUGCCCUGAUGGAGUGUGAUGGAGAUGGCAUCAGGAAAGAAGCCAAGGUGUCACAUCCUAGAGGGGCCCAGAGCCUGGGUUAGACUCUCUCCUAACUCCUUUGCUUAAAGUAGAGACUGAGACUUGAGUCUACAGUGAGAGUAAGUUGUAGGAGCCCUCCAGAAUUUGUUGUCCUCUGGUUCCUCUCCUCCAGUGAGAAAAGCCAUGCUGCAACCAUCCAGAGAAGCCUCGGCAGCUUGGGGAGGUUGCUGUAACAACUUUUGCUGGAAAAAAAAAAAGCCAUGGAAAUCCUGGGCCUGGUUUCCCUUUGGAUUAAAAUAAAUGUUAAGUGCAAAGCCAAGGACCUGCUAUUGAUGAAAUACCUUGAAUUCCCCUUUCACAAGCAGCCACUGGGGGCGCUACUGAACAAAUCCCACUGACUUCCACUGGUUCCGAGAGGAACACCAGGAACCACACUGGAAAAAGCAAAUUACAGACAAAUGAUGAAAUCGCCACCUUGCCAAAGAUGAUAAAUAGCUUUGUUCUGACCUGGGGAGGUCACCUUUCUGGAGAUGAAGGAUGGAUACUGUCUUGUCAGUAGAGAUGAGUUCUGGAUGCAUAAGACUGCACAACACCAUCUUACACCUUAUUCUUGUGUUUGUGGGUGGGGCUCAAGUGUCUGCCACUUGUGUUCAGGUUCCUGACAAGCAGAGGGCAUCAGAUCUCCUAGAGCUGUUGUCACAGGCACUUGUGAGCUACCCGCUAUGGUGUCGGGAACCACACUUGGUCCUCUGAAGAGCAUCAAGAACAAUUAGCCCCUGAGCCAUCUCCCCAACCCCUCUUCUUUUUAACUGGUGUACAGUGUCCCCACAAUCCUGCUGUCCAGUACUGUUCUUUGCAAGAAACAAAAGGUCCCCAUUCCAACUUGUGGAAGAUGGACAGUGGAGGCUGUCUGAAGUGAUCAGAGCAGCUUCCUCUCCUUAUUUGAAUGGAUGACAUUGCCAUGUAAAUUUAAUAUGUACAAAAUUCCCUAAAGGAAGCAUCUAGAAGUUGCAAGAGGGAAUCGGUGACUCCUGGAGGAAAUGAAAUCUGCAAAUGAAACAGAGAACAAACAAAAAAGAAUGUGUCAGCAAGGACGGGCUGUGGGCAGCUUCUACCUCUAUUUACUGUUUUUGAAAUUGUGGAAAGGAUUUGGGAAAUAAGCUGGGCAUAGUGGUGCACUCCUUUAACCCCAGCACUUAGGAAAGCAAAGGAGGGUGGAUCUCUAUGAGUUUGAGGCCAGCAUGGUCUACUAUAUAACCAGUUCCUUGUUAGCCAGUUACAUAAAGAGACCCUAUCUCAAAAAAAUGGGUAAUGUUAGUUGUAUAAAAUUACAGAGGUACAUACUGUGAUAAAGUUGAAAAUGAGUUUGGGUCUAGGGAGAUGGCUCAGUGAAGUGAAUGUCUGCUGUGCACGCUGGGAGACCUGAGUUUGGACCCUGAGAACCUACAUGGAAAGCCAGCCAUGCUGGUGCUAUAACCCCAGAAGUAGAGAGACGUGGAUCCCCGAAGCUCAUUGGCUGGCCAGCCUAGCUGAACUGAUGAAGUUCAAGUUAGGUGAGAGACCUUGUCUCCAUAGGUACAGGCAGAGAAAGGUAGAGGAGAGACUCUCUCAAGUUGUCCUCUGACCUCCACAUGUUCUCUCUCUCUCUCUCUCUCUCUCUCUCUCUCUCUCUCUCACACACACACACACACACACACACACAUAAAUGGAUUGAGAGCACAAAAUUUGUUUUUCACAUGAAUUGAAGUAGUUGACUAUUGUGUUUCGUAGUAUGCAGAGAAAAUGUUUCUAGAUUGUAAUUUUAUAAGAUUUUGUAAAGCUGAGCACAUUUAAAAAUAUCAGUAAAACAGACGUUAUGAAAAAAGAUAAUCAUUUUCUGUGGGCUUGGCUUCA